GGAUUAUUGGCUAAAACCAUGUAACAACACUGGCAGUGAAUAAGCAACUCAGGCAGAAACGGAGUUGUUUGCUUCCAGCAGGCAGGUAGAAGGAAGCCUCCUUGGCUUGGAGUUCCUGAGGCUUGGAGUUCCUGAUGCGCCCUCUGCUGGCUCCUGGCCCACUCGGCCUGCUUUAAGGACCUUGGCAUGCACCUAGGCCUAAGAGUCUAAUGGCUGAGUUUUGGAAGUUAUGCCAAGAGGAUUCCAGAAAAGAAGAAAAAAAAAAAACAGAAAAAAAGACCCUUUUUGUAUGAAUCGUCUGUUAUAAACCUCCAUAAAUAUGCAUCAUUA
rnacentral:lncRNA from 1 species